rnacentral:lncRNA from 1 species
AACCAAAUUGAGAAUAUAUCUAGUGAUAGAACCUUAGGUGAUACCGUCAUACCAGCAUCAAAUGGUAGUGUGAAUGGUCAUGAAUAGUCCUGAAGAAAAUAUGCGACAUUGAUACCGAUUAAUCUAUCAUCUCCUAAAUUCCCAACAAUGAGAAAAGGAAAGACCAUCUGCUGAAAAUGUAACUGAAAUAGAAGGAAAAGGAGAAACUAAUAUUCACUGAUUUUUUUUCUUGUUUGUUUGUAUACACAUAUCUGUUUUGAUUGAACUUUUAUCUUGCCAUUUCUAAUCCAAACGCUUCGAUUGUUUUAGACUACUGUUUUGUUGUUGGUAUCACUAGAUAUGUUUUCGUAAU